ACUAUAGAACUGCUUUGAAAACUGUUAAUCUAGAAUGUGGGAGAGGUAGAUGGAAUUUCUGGUGUAGGGGUAAAAUCCGUAGAGAUCAGAAGGAAUACCGAUUNGCGAAGGCGAUCUACUGGAACAAUAUUGACGCUGAGACGCGAAAGCGUGGGGAGCAAACAGGAUUAGAUACCCUGGUAGUCCACGCCCUAAACGAUGUACACUAGNUUGUUGUGAGGCUCGACCUUGCAGUAAUGCAGUUAACACAUUAAGUGUACCGCCUGGGGAGUACG
rnacentral:rRNA from 1 species